AAGUUUCAACGUUGCCGCGACGUGCGGGUGAAAGACGCGAUCACGUUGCCGCAAUGUAUCUUGGCGACGUUGCUCGUCCGUAACUGCCACGUCCUGGCGACGUCGUGGCAACCAAAAUACAUACUGGCGACAUUUAUGCAACCUUCUUCAAAAAGGUUGCCAUAACGUUGCCAUAACGUUGCAAGGACGUUCUUGGCGACGUUGCUCGUCCGUAACUGCCACGUCCUGGCGACGUCGUGGCAACCAAAAUACAUACUGGCGACAUUUAUGCAACCUUCUUCAAAAAGGUUGCCAUAACGUUGCAAGGACGUUAGGGCGGAUCUGCAUGGUGCAGUCCUCAUUUGCCCUUUAUAGAACCCACAAAAUCUAGUCUGAAAUCUACAAGCCACAUAAAUAUUUUACCUACAUUUUGGCUGGGGGCUGUUGCUAAUGUGGACCCCAAGCCUAUUCAAAAGACAAGACAGUACACUAACAAAUAUCAAUUUAUUAUAUUUUUAUUUCAAAUAAUUUUGAAUUCAAUUUUGGGGAUGUUCUUCCGCCUGCCGUUCCAUCCGACCCUGUGAAGAACAAAUAAAAGAGAACACGUCCACGGCGGAAGUUUGUGUUUGAAAGUUCAGAAGCAACCAAGCUUACGUUGUGCUAAUAAACCAGUCCAGUGCUCAACCCAACCUGUCUCCGUGGGUUCAAUUAAGAAGCAGAAGAGCUGCAGUGUACCCAAGGUCACAUCUGCUCUAUAAGGUGUCCGGCCGCCAUCCCCUAUUCACGUGGUUUUGUGUAUUGGAGAACCUGCUCAGCAAGCUGCAGUCUGCAACUUCUGCGGGAGGCAUGUUUAAUUCAAAUCCAGUACUGUUGCAUUUCAGCAAAAGCACAAGGGUGAAAGUCUUUGGUCCCCUUCAACUCCUGAGCAACAACAGCAGUGGCAUCUUCCCCUUCUUUCCCCUAAGGCUGUAGCUGCUCCAAA